CGCCAGGGGACUACGAGCAAUGCUUAAAACCCAAAGGACUUGACGGUGUCCCACCCACCUAGAGGAGCCUGUCCUGUAAUCGAUGACCCCCGUUAUACCCAACCAUUCCUAGCUUCUCAGUCUGUAUACCUCCGUCGAAAGCCUACCAUGUAAACGUUCUCAGUAGGCCCAAUGAUUCCGUCAACACGUCAGGUCAAGGUGCAGCUUACGGAAUGGGAGAGAUGGGCUACAAUUUCUAAUUUAGAACAAACGAAAUACUAUGUGAAAUCAUAGUCACUGAAGGUGGAUUUAGUAGUAAAAAGAAAAUAGAGAGUUCUUUUUAACCNGGCUCUGG
rnacentral:rRNA from 1 species